rnacentral:rRNA from 1 species
UGGGAACGUGCCCAAAGGUACGGAACAACUCCGGGAAACUGGAGCUAAUACCGUAUGUGCCCGAAAGGGGAAAGAUUCAUCGCCUUUGGAUCGGCCCGCGUCUGAUUAGCUAGUUGGCGGGGUAAUGGCCCACCAAGGCGACGAUCAGUAGCUGGUCUGAGAGGAUGAUCAGCCACACUGGGACUGAGACACGGCCCAGACUCCUACGGGAGGCAG